CCUACGGGAGGCAGCAGUGGGGGAUAUUGGACAAUGGGGGAAACCCUGAUCCAGCGACGCCGCGUGAGUGAAGAAGUAUUUCGGUAUGUAAAGCUCUAUCAGCAGGGAAGAAAGAAAUGACGGUACCUGAGUAAGCAGCCGCGGCCAACUUCGCGCCAGCAGCCGUGGUACUACGGAGGGGGCAAGCGUUAGGCGGAAUUACUGGGUGUAAACGGCGCGUAGACGGUACUGCAAGUCUGGAGUGAAAUGCGGGGGCCCAACCACCGAACUGCUCUGGAAACUGUGUAACUGGAGUGCAGGAGAGGCAGGCGGAAUUCCUGGUGUAGCGGUAAAAUGCGUAGAUAUUAAGAGGAACACCAGUGGCGAAGGCGACCUGCUAGACUGUAACUGACGUUGAGGCUCGAAAGCGUGGGGAGCAAACGGGAUUAGAUACCCGUGUAGUC
rnacentral:rRNA from 1 species